GACGUAGGGCGCGAGCGUUGUCCGGAAUUAUUGGGCGUAAAGAGCUCGUAGGCGGCUCAGUAAGUCAGGUGUGAAAACUCCAGGCUCAACCUGGAGACGCCACCUGAUACUGCUGUGGCUAGAGUCCGGUAGGGGAGCAUGGAAUUCCUGGUGUAGCGGUGAAAUGCGCAGAUAUCAGGAGGAACACCAGUGGCGAAGGCGGUGCUCUGGGCCGGAACUGACGCUGAGGAGCGAAAGCGUGGGGAGCAAACAGG
rnacentral:rRNA from 1 species